rnacentral:lncRNA from 1 species
GGCGAACAGCACGGAUGGUGGCUGAAUGGCAGUGUGUCGGCUUUUGCCAUGGAGUGCUCAACACUGACAACAUGAGCAUCGUGGGCCUCACGAUCGACUAUGGACCCUUUGGCUUCCUGGAUAGGUAUGACCCUGACCAUGUGUGUAACGCCUCUGACAAUGCUGGGCGCUACACAUACAGUAAGCAGCCACAGGUGUGCAGGUGGAACCUGCAGAAACUAGCUGAAGCCCUGGAGCCUGAGCUGCCGCUUGUGCUAGCUGAGGCCAUUCUCAAAGAGGAGUUUGACACAGAGUUCCAAAGGCACUAUCUACAGAAGAUGCGUAAGAAGCUGGGCCUUGUUCGCGUGGAGAAGGAAGAUGAGACACUUGUGGCCAAACUUCUAGAGACUAUGCAUCAGACUGCUCCUUCCCGGCUGAACCGUCAGACACAGCAGAGUUCCUGACCCAGCUGACCUCCCAGUGUGCCUCUCUGGAAGAGCUAAAGCUUGCCUUCAGACCCCAGAUGGAUCCCCGGCAGCUCUCUAUGAUGCUGAUGCUGGCACAGUCGAACCCACAGCUCUUUGCACUCAUUGGCACUCAAGCAAAUGUCACAAAGGAGCUGGAACGUGUGGAGCAUCAGUCACGGCUGGAACAGCUGAGCCCCUCUGAACUGCAGAGCAAGAACAGAGACCACUGGGAAACCUGGCUACAGGAAUACAGAGAGCGUCUGGACAAGGAGAAGGAGGGUGUCGGAGACAUUGCUGCCUGGCAGGCAGAACGUGUACGCAUCAUGCAUGCCAACAACCCCAAGUACGUCCUAAGGAACUAUAUUGCACAGAAAGCCAUUGAAGCUGCAGAAAAUGGAGACUUUUCAGAGGUGCGACGUGUCCUGAA